rnacentral:lncRNA from 1 species
CCUCUCCAAUCCACUGAAUCUGCCUCCAUAACAUCUCUUGUUGUCGCAAUAAAGAGUGGUGUAUCAAGAGCUUAUGAUGAAGCUCUCUCGAAUUAGGCUUCUAAAGACCUCCUUUCUGAUCCUCCCUCAGCUACAAUAUUGUAAUGUCCGCCUCCACCCCCUCGAGGUGCUUGAAAAUAUCACCAACCUUUAUAUGGUUCCAUCAUAGGAACUUGCACUUGGCUAAUUCCAACCUCUGGGUCAUCUGGUACCUUGCAUCCCCAUGGACUGACAUCCUCCAC